rnacentral:rRNA from 1 species
CCUACGGGAGGCAGCAGUGAGGAAUAUUGGUCAAUGGACGAGAGUCUGAACCAGCCAAGUAGCGUGAAGGAUGAAUGCCCUAUGGGUUGUAAACUUCUUUUAUAUGGGAAUAAAAUGUUCCACGUGUGGGAUUUUGUAUGUACCAUAUGAAUAAGGAUCGUCUAACUCCGUGCCAGCAGCCGCGGUAAUACGGAGGAUCCGAGCGUUAUCCGGAUUUAUUGGGUUUAAAGGGCGCGUAGGUGGAUUGUUAAGUCAGUUGUGAAAGUUUGCGGCUCAACCGUAAAAUUGCAGUUGAAACUGGCAGUCUUGAGUACAGUAGAGGUGGGCGGAAUUCGUGGUGUAGCGGUGAAAUGCUUAGAUAUCACGAAGAACUCCGAUUGCGAAGGCAGUUCACUGGACUGCAACUGACACUGAGGCUCGAAAGUGUGGGUAUCAAACAGGAUUAGAUACCCGGGUAGUC